GUGGGGAAUUUUGGACAAUGGGGGAAACCCUGAUCCAGCCAUGCCGCGUGCGGGAUGAAGGCCUUCGGGUUGUAAACCGCUUUUGUCAGAGACGAAAAGGGACGCACGAAUAAUACGUUCCGCUGACGGUAUCUGAAGAAUAAGCACCGGCUAACUACGUGCCAGCAGCCGCGGUAAUACGUAGGGUGCAAGCGUUAAUCGGAAUUACUGGGCGUAAAGGGUGCGCAGGCGGCUGUGCAAGACAGAUGUGAAAUCCCCGGGCUUAACCUGGGAACUGCAUUUGUGACUGCACGGCUAGAGUUUGUCAGAGGAGGGUGGAAUUCCGCGUGUAGCAGUGAAAUGCGUAGAUAUGCGGAAGAACACCAAUGGCGAAGGCAGCCCUCUGGGACAUGACUGACGCUCAUGCACGAAAGCGUGGGGAGCAAACAGGAUUAGAAACCCCAGUAGUCC
rnacentral:rRNA from 1 species